GAUGAACGCUGGCGGCGUGCCUAAUACAUGCAAGUCGAGCGCACGGACGAGAAGCUUGCUUCUCUGAUGUUAGCGGCGGACGGGUGAGUAACACGUGGAUAACCUACCUAUAAGACUGGGAUAACUUCGGGAAACCGGAGCUAAUACCGGAUAAUAUUUUGAACCGCAUGGUUCAAAAGUGAAAGACGGUCUUGCUGUCACUUAUAGAUGGAUCCGCGCUGCAUUAGCUAGUUGGUAAGGUAACGGCGUACCAAGGCAACGAUGCAUAGCCGACCUGAGAGGGUGAUCGGCCACCCUGGAACUUAGACACGGUCCAGACUCCUACGGGAGGCAGCAGUAGGGAAUCUUCCGCAAUGGGCGAAAGCCUGACGGAGCAACGCCGCGUGAGUGAGUAAGGUCUUCGGAUCGUAAAACUCUGUUAUUAGGGAAGAACAUAUGUGUAAGUAACUGUGCACAUCUUGACGGUACCUAAUCAGAAAGCCACGGCUAACUACGUG
rnacentral:rRNA from 1 species